rnacentral:rRNA from 1 species
GUAGGGAAUAUUGCACAAUGGGGGAAACCCUGAUGCAGCGACGCCGCGUGAGUGAUGAAGGCCUUCGGGUCGUAAAGCUCUGUCGUAUGGGACUAACACAAUGAAGGUACCAUGCAAGAAAGGAUCGGCUAACUUCGUGCCAGCAGCCGCGGUAAGACGAGGGAUCCUAGCGUUGUUCGGAAUCAUUGGGCGUAAAGCGGGUGUAGGCGGUCUUAUAAGUCAGGUGUGAAAGCCCAGGGCUCAACCCUGUAAGUGCACUUGAUACUGUAAGACUUGAGUGUGGUAGAGGCUACUGGAAUUCCUGGUGUAGUGGUAAAAUACGUAGAUAUCAGGAGGAAUACCGGAGGCGAAGGCGAGUAGCUGGGCCAACACUGACGCUGAGAUCCGAAAGCGUGGGGAUCAAACAGGAUUAGAAACCCCUGUAGUCC